rnacentral:lncRNA from 1 species
UAGAUUAUUAGUGGAGGACUUUCUUCUUUUCUAACAACCCAUUUAAAAAACUAUACUUUUCACACUGGGGAUUGCUUUUAGAGGCAUCCCACAGAUUAUAUUUUGUUCUCAUUAAUAUUUGACUCUAAAUGUUUUCCAGUUUUCCUUGUGAUUUCUCUCUCUUACUCAUGGGCUAUUUAGAAGAAGAGAGAUGUCAGCUGGGUGUAGUGGUACACAGCUGCAAAACCAACACUUGGAGGAUGAAGGUGGGAGGAUUAGAAAUCCAAGAUCAGCUGCAGCUACUUCUGGAGUUUAAGACCAGGCUGAGCUUCAUGAGCACCCGCCUCAUAAAAACAUGGGUUCAGUUUCAUCCCGAGCACCCACAUCAAACAGCUGGUAACUGCCUGUAACUCUACUUCCAAAGGAUCUGGUGCCCUCUCCUAGCCUCCACAGUGGUGUAGGUGGUCAGGACAGGAAGUUUACAGUAGGCAUUUGAGUAUUACAUGAAUCUGCAUCUGCAGAUAAGAAACUUGGGGGGGGGGGGCGUUUCUGGUAGUCCCAGUUAUGGAGCAUUUGUGAAGUUUCCAUCUGAUGGCCAUCCUCGCCUACAAGCUUGUUAGGAUUGGAUUAUCUACUCUCACUCUGCUGUGGGCAGACAGCCUCAGUUCCUUACUGCAUAGGUCUCUCUAGCACUACUUACAGCAUGAAGCUAGCCUGCUGCUUCCCUAAGAGAGCCGUGAACUGGGCAGAGGGAAGGAGGAAUGAGAGCUGCAAAAUGUCCACUCUUGGAAAGGACAUGCCAUCAUUUUCCACAAUUUAUUGAUCUCUUGGAUCAACCCUGGUAUAGUGUAGAAGGGGACCACACAAGGAAGUGAAUACCAAGACACAGGGAUUUGGGAAUACCAUCUUGGAGGUUGGCUCUUAUAUUCCAGACUUAUUUUACUGUCCAGCACAUGGUCUAUUUUGUGUAUUUAUUGCUGUUGAGGAUAAUGCUCCACAAGUAGCUUGUAGACCAAGGCAUUGCAGGUGUUAUUCACAUCUCCAACAGGAGUGAGUCUCCAACAGUGGGGCAAUUUUGCCACUUAUGGGUCAUUUGGCAAUGUCUAGAGGUAACUUGGCUUUUUACAAAGAGGAGGGCUGCCACUGACACCUAUAGAAUUAUGGUGUGGGCUGAAUUGUAUCCUCCAGAGAGAAAUGUCUUAACUUCCAUCGCCUGUGAAUGUGACUUCGUUUGGAAACAGGUUCUUAAUAGAUGUCCUAAGUUAAGUUAGAAUGGCCCCUAGUGCUCUGGUGAGAAGGGAGAAACUUGGACAUGAAGACACACAAGAAGAAGAUAACCAUUUAAGGACAAAGGAUGCUGGAGAUGUGUUCUUACAGGCCAAGGAAUAACAGGGGUACCCAGAAGCUGUAAGAGGCAGAAGAGGGUCUUCCCCCAGAGGAUUCAGAGGAAGCCUGGCAUUACUGGUCCUUUUGUUUCAGACUUCUGGCCUGCACAACUAUGAAAAAAAUUGCUAUUGUUUUUGUUUUUGUUUUGUUGAGCCCAAGUCUCAUUGCCCACACUGGUCUCAAACUCUUCAUGAAGUCAAACUCCCAAGUGCUGAGAUUAAAGCACUCGGGAGGCAGAGGCAGGUGGAUCUCUGUGAGUUCAAGGUCAGCCUGGUCUACAAAUCGAGUUCCAGGACAGCCAGCAUCUCUACCCACUGAGGCAUUUUGGUAUUGUAAAGCAUCUGGUUUGGAGCACUUCCUGUGGCAUUCCUAGAAAAUGAAUACCAGUAGAGACCAGAGGGACCACUGAACACCCACAGUGCACAGGACAGCCUCUGCAGCCUG